ensembl:snRNA U6 U6 spliceosomal RNA
AUGUUCUCUUCAGCAGCAUAUACAUUAAAACUGGAAUGAUAUGGAGAAGACUAGCAUGGUCCCUGCUAGGAUGACAUGCAAAUUCGUGAAGCGUUCCAUAUUUUU